AUGAAGGCCAAGACGAAGAUCAGAAAGGCUGCCGACUUCUUGAGGAAGGCUGUGCGGGCGCUGAGGGGCAGGGCCGGCGUCCUCAGGGCGCGGCUCCUCUUCCUCGCCUCGCUCCGCCACAGGACGGCGAUGGUCGGCACCGUGUCGCGCCACCUCCGCGCCCUCAUGCCGGGCCGCCAGAGAGACCCGGUGCACGACCACCGCAAGGCCCUAGCCUUGUCGACGAUGGCGGCGGAGGAGGACGGGCAGGCUGCGAAGCAUGGAGUCGACGUCCCAGGCCUCUCCGGGCUGUUGCAAGAAGUGGUCGGCGACGACGAUGACGGCCACUGCGGCUACCCGGACUGGACGCACUCACUGUUCGACGACGACGAUGACGACUGCAACCUCCAGGAGGGCGACGAUGUUGACGAGGAACGCGGUGGUGGCGCGGAGGCAAUGGAGGAAGAUCAGCUGCCUGACGACGAGCCGUCGGUGAUGGACGUCAUCAGGAGGUGCAGGGAAGGGGACGGAAUGGAGUUCAACAUCGAGGAGGAGAUCGACCACGCCGCUGACAUGUUCAUACGGCGGGUCCGCAGCCGAAUGAGCAACCGGAGCUUCUAG
rnacentral:rRNA from 1 species